UAUGUUCCAGCGGGAGAGGUGAUUAUGGAGGCGAUGCACAAGCUCACGGCUGGCAACGAUGGCAACGAGAGUUACCUGGAGACGAUGGCAGACUACGCACGGGACAAGGAAGCGGCAAAGAGGGCGAUGGAGAUGGAGUGGGAGGUGAGGUUUGGGAAGCAGGAGGACGCUUGCGUUGCCAAGGCCAUCUACGAGAGAGGUAUGGACUCGUUGCUCAAGCCCUGGACCCUCUGAGUGAGCUUGUUUUUCUGGAGUGUUUUCGUCCUAUUUCUUCUUCUUUUUCUACUACUACUCACUACUUCUCUUUCUUCUCUUCUGCUGUCUCCUCCUACUACUACCUUAACCACUCGGCCAAAGCGACACUUUCAUGAAACCGCUCUUUUCACAAAGCAAUCCACGAAAGAAGGGAUUGGUGAGCGAGCGAGCAAUCUAGUCAAGUAUGCUUGAAUUAUACUGUUAUACUACUGAUUUCUAGAAUUAUAUUUCAUCAAACUAAUCUAACAGCAUUCAAUUAGACACUUCGAAGAAAUACGCCCAUAAUACAACAAGAAAAAAGCUUGUGUUAUAACAAAAGAAUGAAGAGAAAAUAGAAAAAUAAUUUUUGAAGCAAUCUAUUUCAUAUAGUCAA
rnacentral:lncRNA from 1 species